GUUUUUGUAGGACCUGCAGGAGGCUCAGCUGGUAAACUUUCAGUAAUAGUCUUUCCAUGCUGAUUCCCAACAUACGUUUGAUAACUAAAAGCCAUUUCAAACACUCGUCAGCAGCUGGUUAAAUGGCUCAGCAGAGGAAGUCACGGAGCCCUGCUGGAGCAAGAAUGUGACUGGGCAGGGGCAAGGUAUGAGAGCCCGCAGUCUUGUCAACCUGUCCUUUGCACUCUUUGGUUCCUGUGCGACAGAUAUUGCCAGUCAGCAUCCUGCUCCAGCUGCCCACUGCUGUGCAUUAUUUGUCACCAUCAACACCCUCUCUGGAAGAGCCCUCACACUCGAGCUCCCAGACCUUUCCUGACAUCAUGGAUUAUACCCUCUGGAACAGGAAGCCAAACAGACAAAUAAACAUGCAAGCAACAGUAGCAGCAGCAGCAGCAGCAACAACAACAACAACAACAACAACAACAACCACCUUCCCUCCCUGAUUUUUUGUUGGGAUCAUCUACUGAUACAACAGACAAUUAACUAAUACAAAUGUGUUGGAAUAAUUUGUCAUUUGUAGGAUGAGUCAUUUUCUAAUAUCAUUUUGUAAACUGGGAGAAAGCUGAAGCUCUCAUGUGCAGCCCAGUGAAAGUUUCUCCAUUUGGU